UGUGCUCUUCCUGUGCUGGAGAUGCUUCUUCAGGCAUUACCGGACUGUGGUAAAGAAGGAAUGGAGAGGUGGCAUGGCAUUAUGAGGCUCCACCCACUUCCUAAGGGCCUUUAAGUCAGCAGCAUAAGCCACAUUCCACUGCAGCUUUAUCUUGCACCAGAACUAGGCAUCUGAGAAUCAGGGAGCUGUGACUGGCUUCCAGACGGCCACCUCUCCCCACUGCACCCAAGUUAAGUGACUUGUCUAAGAUCACACACAAAGUCUGUGGCAGAACUGAGAAUUAAACCCCCAUCUCUUGAUUGCCAGUUCUGUGUCUUAAAUACAUGACUAGCCUCCUCUGAAUGCCAGGGAGGGAGGGGCAGCCAGUAUUUCUAUAUUCUUUUUUCCACCAUGCACCUCUUUUAACCAGCUACUGCAGAAUUUUACCCUCUCCCUUCUUAUGAAAUUCAGAAAAUCCCAGUGAAGCUUGUGGGACAAUAAGGCAGGAUGUGGGAGAAAAGGAGGACAAAGUGCAGCCGGCAGUGGAGAUGGUGGCACUGAAUGAUUGCAAUAAGCUGAAGGAACUUGGCAGGGAUGUCAGCAGACCCGGACAGAAAACAAACUCCCUUCACAGCCAGAAACUUAUGGUUGUCAAGCAGAUUGUGAAGCACAUUAAAUCGUUGCCGCAGGAUUCGCUGGACUCACACUCCAGUGCCGUGCGCUGCCAGGGGAUGCUGCUCAUCACAGACUGCAGCAAAGCAAAGCCGCCUCUGGAGGGUAAAGAGAAGUUGGAUGGGGUCAUUGUCUGUGUUGCCAGCAUCUUUGCCCUGCCGUCAGUUGAGGCCUUACAAAG
rnacentral:lncRNA from 1 species